CAGUACUCAGGACUUCUUCCUGGCUCUUUGCUGAAAGAUCAUAACUGGCAGUGCUCAGGAGCUAUGUGGGAUGCUGGUGUUCAAAGCCAGGGGAAGUGCUGAACUUGGCAGUGCUCAAGAUUUACCCUUUGUUCUUUACUCACAGAUCACUACUAACUGGGUUGGGAGGACCAUAGGCAGUGCUGAGGAUUGAACCUAGCACUAUUCACAAUAGCCAGUAUCUGGAAUAAACCUGAGUUACCCGAGAACAGAAGACUGGUUAAAGAAACUUUGAGUUUCGUUGAGAACUUAGAAAAACGGAUUCAAGCAUUCAGAAUUAAAAGUGAACUGGAAGAAAUUGUUAGCUGAAAAAUUCAGAUUUCAACCAACCCCAAAAUAGUAAGCACAGAAACUGUUCCCUCACUAAUAAGGAAGAAAAAAGAAAAAAAAACAGGAGAAAACAAACUAAUGGUUCAACAAAGACAUUUUUCAUAUCCAUGAUGUUCUUUUUGUGGGAAAUUUC